UACGUAGGGUGCGAGCGUUGUCCGGAAUUAUUGGGCGUAAAGAGCUCGUAGGCGGUGUGUCACGUCGGCCGUGAAAACCUGCAGCUUAACUGUGGGCGUGCGGUCGAUACGGGCAUCACUGGAGUUCGGCAGGGGAGACUGGAAUUCCUGGUGUAGCGGUGGAAUGCGCAGAUAUCAGGAGGAACACCUAUAGCGAAGGCAGCUUGCUGGGACGUUACUGACGCUAAGGCGCGAAAGCGUGGGGAGCGAACAGG
rnacentral:rRNA from 1 species